ACCACUCUGUUCUGUUGUAUCUAUGCUUCCUCACUAACUGCUUAAUGACUCUUGCAGUAACCAUGCUAUAACCAUGUUAGUGAUGCUACUACUAUUUACCGCUGCAGCUAUGAGAGUAACUAUAGCGCUUUAUCUUCAAGUGGCUCUAGGUCAGGUUACGUAACCCCCCCCCCACACACACACACACACUUCAACCGCCUCCUCUCCCACCUCAUUCACUCAUUCACUCACUCACUCACUCACUCACACUUGCUGGCUGUGUCUGAUCCCUGGGUCACGGUGCAGUGACUCUGAGGCUUGUCUAACUGGGCCUCUUGAAACUCUGGCCUUUACAUUCCAGUGCCCAGAGGAGGGGCUCGCAGCCAGGCUUAUUAACACACAGAGAGAGAGAGAGAGAGAAGGAAGUCUCUGCCGUCAGGGAUUAUGUGCUGUUUCCUUGCCUGGAGGCUCUUGCCUCGUUCUUCCACAAACUUAAGGAAACAGCGAAAACUUAAACCUGCUAUUAUUCUCCAGCUGACACGGCCUUCUCACUGACACUUGUUUUCUUUCUUUCUCUCCUGCUCUCUCUGGGCUGGUGUGUGCGUGUGUGUGCGUGUGCGUGUGUGUGUGUGUGUGUGUGUGUGUGUGUGUGUGUGUGUGUGUAAGGGGAUCACUUUUUUUCCGUUGGCUUUUUCCACUGUGCCGCAGACACACACGGUGGAGAGGAUUGGAUUUGUGAAGACACUGAUGGGGUUGCACAGCUGCACGGAGGGAGCAAAAGACUAUUUCCCCCUCUGUACCUCCCCAUCCCCACAAUGGGACUACCGCCUCUCUCCCUCUCUUUCUCUCUCUCUCUUUCCGAGGAGUGGGGGUGGGGGGCUGCCAUAUGGGAGCUCAGAAACAUGGAGUGGAUCCGAGGAGGGAGAGAGGGGAAUCUUUUUCCUCCUGGCGCUGGAUGUGGUGCUCUGCUCUGCGAAGUGAGUGAGAAAUGACCAUGGGUGACUCCUUACCCUGAAAGGCACACGAUCAACAAGACCGAAGAGGAGGAGGUGGUAGCGGAGGUGUAGGGGAGGGGGUGGCAGAAGGGAGGCUGUUCCUCAGACGGCACAGAGCGCUCUCUUCUCGUCUCCCCACAUCAUUGGUAUGCAGUGACUGUUCCCCAGGCGACAGGGCCACUGGGUUGGGGCUAAACUGACUGCAGGAGAGUCAGGUCUACAAAGUAAAUGAGAGGAGAGCAAGAUAGCAGGUAAGGGUAAUGAGAACAGGCAGAGAGAGGGAGGGAGGAGGACAAGAGAAAGGCGGAAGGGAAGCUAGAUGUCCCAAGGGGCUUUGGGGGUGAGGCACCGCCUGACCCCUCACACUCCGUUCACUGUCCAGGCCCACACACAUACACACACACAUAUUAAUGCUUAAACUCCCGACCAGAUACAUUAUGUUCAAGUGCACAUCAUGUAUCCAAAAAACAACAUAUCAGUUAGGCUAACGAUUUUUUUUGCAAGAGCUUUUAUGACUAUAUAGUGAUAAUGUAAUGUUUCUUGAGAUGUGUGCAUAUGAUUUCCUCAAAUAUUUGUAUUUUAUUAUGUUAUUCCAUAAAACAUGAAUCUUUAAACAGUAUAUUUGAAUAUAUUUGUAAAGAAAGCAAAUGAUGGAAUGCAAAUAGUGCAAAAUGUCAUUACAAAUAAAAAGAAAGUGUGAAAAUAAACGGAUGAAUAUUACACAUCUGUCUUUUAUUUCUAGGGAUCCCUACAACCUACAGGAUAAGUUAAACCCAGGUGAUAUAUAAGAAACCCCACAUAGUGUUGUAACAAUUUGAUUUCCACUUCUCUAGUAAAGUUUUUAUUCCCUGCUCAUGAAUUGGUUGAGUAGGCAUUGGUUGGUGGAGGUGAAUUAGCAACAAAUAUCCUAGGUUCACUGUGUGUAUAUAUAUAUAUAUAUAUAUAUAUAUAUAUAUAUAU
rnacentral:lncRNA from 1 species